UGCCAGCAGCCGCGGUAAUACGGAGGGGGCAAGCGUUGUUCGGAAUUACUGGGCGUAAAGGGCGCGUAGGCGGCCAAGUCAGUCAGGCGUGAAAGCCCAGGGCUCAACCCUGGAAUUGCGCUUGAUACUGCUUGGCUCGAGACCGGAAGAGGGUAGUGGAAUUCCCAGUGUAGAGGUGAAAUUCGUAGAUAUUGGGAAGAACACCAGUGGCGAAGGCGGCUACCUGGUCCGGAUCUGACGCUGAGGCGCGAAAGCGUGGGGAGCAAACAGGAUUAGAUA
rnacentral:rRNA from 1 species